GAUCCUGGCUCAGGAUGAACGCUAGCUACAGGCUUAACACAUGCAAGUCGAGGGGAAACGACAUCGAAAGCUUGCUUUUGAUGGGCGUCGACCGGCGCACGGGUGAGUAACGCGUAUCCAACCUGCCCAUCACUUGGGAAUAACCUUGCGAAAGUAAGACUAAUGCCCAAUGAUAUCCCACGAAGGCAUCCGAAUGGGAUUAAAGAUUUAUCGGUGAUGGAUGGGGAUGCGCUCCA
rnacentral:rRNA from 1 species